rnacentral:snoRNA from 1 species
GUUGCAGGAUAAGUGUGUAUCGGUUAAAUGCCUUUUACCGUUCAUUUCUUGCUGAAAGUGUUUCCUGCUAUAUCAACUUGAAGAAAGUCUGGAUAGUUUUUUGCUUUUUACAUGCAAGACUUUACAUUA